CCCGCCAGCCCUCCCCGGCGCUGAGGCUCGGCACACCGGCUCGGCACACCCUCAGGUUUCUCCCGCAAUGUGUUCAUCACAGACUGUCAAAAGCGGAAGGAUGGGUGGGAGGACAAAUUUGACGGUUCCCCGUUGCCGCCUAAAAUAGCGUAUUCACCGCUAUUUUUCCCGUGUGCCCAGAAGGUGUCUCAGGGAAACUUAAUGUCUUUCCCGCCCUCUCCAGAAAAUAAUUAAACACUGCAGUCAUCAUGAAUUCUGUGUGUGUUUGCUCAGGUUAUUAAUCAAAAUGUGGAAUUCUCCAUCAUCUGCUGCCAUAGCAGUGGAGUCGAUACCUCGUGCAAGUGAGUUGACGUGCACUGAAUGUGCAUCAAUGGAGCACUGGGAGGAAAGCCGGGCCUGAGAGGCCACCGCUCAGACCAGCGACCGAGCCGUCGGGGACUCACCAGCAUCGGAGGGUCCUGGCCGCCAUCGCUCUCCGCUGUUUCUUCGCUUGCGUGCCCCCGUCUGGGAAAGGCCGUUCCAGCCUGCCGUCCCAGCCGUGGUGGGAGAGUCCUUCCCUCCCCCCCAGCGCUUUUGAGACGUUGCACAUUUGCCAGACGGAGGAGCGUGAAGUUAAUUAUCUCAUUGCUUUAAUUUGCACUCUGGCAUCAGGAAGGGUGUGCACUGGGGGUUCCAGGACACUCAUCAGCACCUGGCAGGGGCCCCUCGGAUGCUUCUGACGGACUCCAGAAACCAUCUUCCAGGUGCCCGUGAUUUGGAGAAGCGACAGUUUCUUUUGUUAGUAAAAGUUUGGUCGAGCAAUAAAACUGUUGCUAAAUUCGCAAAUGUCA